rnacentral:rRNA from 1 species
UACGUAGGGGGCUAGCGUUGUCCGGAUUUAUUGGGCGUAAAGAGCGUGUAGGCGGCCAGAUAGGUCUGCUGUGAAAACUCGAGGCUCAACCUCGAGAUGUCGGCGGAAACCAUUUGGCUAGAGUCCGGAAGAGGAAAGUGGAAUUCCUGGUGUAGCGGUGGAAUGCGCAGAUAUCAGGAAGAACACCCGUGGCGAAGGCGGCUUUCUGGGACGGUACUGACGCUGAGACGCGAAAGCGUGGGGGGCGAACAGG